UUGUCGUCAGCUCGUGUCGUGAGAUGUUGGUUAAGUCCCGCAGCGAGCGCAACCCCUAUUGUUAGUUUGCCAUCAUUCAGUUGGGCACUCUAGCGAGACUGCCGGUAAUAAACCGGAGGAAGGUGGGGAUGACGUCAAAUCAUCAUGCCCCUUAUGACCUGGGCUACACACGUGCUACAAUGGGCGGUACAAAGGGUCGCGAACCCGCGAGGGGAGCCAAUCCCAAAAAGCCGCUCUCAGUUCGGAUUGCAGGCUGCAACUCGCCUGCAUGAAGCCGGAAUCGCUAGUAAUCGCGGAUCAGCAUGCCGCGGUGAAUACGUUCCCGGGCCUU
rnacentral:rRNA from 1 species